rnacentral:rRNA from 1 species
GUGGGGAAUAUUGCACAAUGGGCGAAAGCCUGAUGCAGCAACGCCGCGUGAGGGACGACGGCCUUCGGGUUGUAAACCUCUUUUAGUAGGGAAGAAGCGAAAGUGACGGUACCUGCAGAAAAAGCACCGGCUAACUACGUGCCAGCAGCCGCGGUAAUACGUAGGGUGCAAGCGUUAUCCGGAAUUAUUGGGCGUAAAGAGCUCGUAGGCGGUCUGUCGCGUCUGCUGUGAAAACUGGAGGCUCAACCUCCAGCCUGCAGUGGGUACGGGCAGACUAGAGUGCGGUAGGGGAGAUUGGAAUUCCUGGUGUAGCGGUGGAAUGCGCAGAUAUCAGGAGGAACACCGAUGGCGAAGGCAGAUCUCUGGGCCGUAACUGACGCUGAGGAGCGAAAGCGUGGGGAGCGAACAGGAUUAGAAACCCGGGUAGUCC